rnacentral:rRNA from 1 species
GACGAACCGUACGAACGUUAUUCGGAAUCACUGGGCUUAAAGGGUGCGUAGGCGGCGCGGAAAGUUGGGUGUGAAAUCCCUCGGCUCAACCGAGGAGCUGCGCCCAAAACUGCCGUGCUUGAGGGAGACAGAGGUGAGCGGAACUAAGGGUGGAGCGGUGAAAUGCGUUGAUAUCCUUAGGAACACCGGUGGCGAAAGCGGCUCACUGGGUCUCUUCUGACGCUGAGGCACGAAAGCUAGGGGAGCAAACGGG